UACGUAGGGGGCAAGCGUUGUCCGGAAUCAUUGGGCGUAAAGCGCGUGUAGGCGGCUUGGUAAGUCUGGCGUGAAAUCUUGGGGCUCAACCCCAAGCCUGCGUUGGAUACUGCCUCGCUCGAGUCCGGGAGAGGAAAGCGGAAUUCCCAGUGUAGCGGUGAAAUGCGCAGAUAUUGGGAAGAACACCGGUGGCGAAGGCGGCUUUCUGGAACGGUACUGACGCUGAGACGCGAAAGCGUGGGGAGCAAACAGGAUUAGAUACCCUGGUAGUCCACGCCGUAAACGAUGGGCACUAGUUGUGGGCGGUGUCGACUCCGCCCGUGACGAAGCUAACGCAUUAAGUGCCCCGCCUGGGGAGUACGGCCGCAAGGCUA
rnacentral:rRNA from 1 species